CAAAUAUCAUCUCGUUUCGAUUCGUAAUCACAACUCGAGCAGCGCAUCGAAAUCCAUGGUUCCGGUAACACUGCACUGCUAGCUUAGCUUAGCUUGCUUGCCCCUGUGUGUACGACUAACUAAAUUGGUCGCCUCUUCAUCCUUCGGCUCGCCGUCACAAGCGGCUCCGCUUCUCGCCGCUAAACUCGACGCUCCACCUCCCACAGCAACAGGAGGAUGGCCGGCCUCCCCGCACGCGUCCACUGAGUUGAGCACAGCGUACCGUGGAUGCUCAACAUCGCGGUUCCUGCUCCCUUACUGGAGUUUCAUUUUAGAUGGUAAAUUUGGGGCACAACUUUAAGUCUGGAUCUAUGGGGACUCAAUGUUCGCUGUGUGCAUCAGGGGAAGCAGCAGGAGCAGCCAACGCCAUGACGGUGGGAGCACCUGGAUGGGCAGAGCACGCAUGUUUUGUUUCCUUGUUGCUUGUAGGCCACCAGGAGCAGAUCAAGUCGAUGGAAUAUUAUCCAGUUGAGUCGAGUCUCAUGUGCUCUGCAAUUUCCAGCUUCAAUUUGCCUUCGGUAAUUCGGUUCGUGUUAUGGAUUUGCUAUUGACCUAUUGUUGGUCUAAGGGAAGGUAAACUCACCAUAGUCAAGAAGGGGUAUCUAUACACAAUACAAGCCAUACGACUACCAAACACAUGCUUCAAAGACCUGGCUAACACGAAGCUAACUUCUUCCACUAUGCAGGCUAAUCCUGACCAUGGCUAAUUUUUAUCCAGGUUAGAUCUAAGUCUCAACGUGUUCGGCACAGCUGGCUGCAGCAGCUAGCCCACAGCCAGUGUCCUAAUUAGCAGUAGCUACAGUGCUGGGCACCUGCAGCCAGCUGAAGCGAACAGCCGAUGCAAGCACGCGCAGGUGCGCCUGCCAGCCUGCUAGGCCCGCCCCUGCGAAAAUGUGUGAGCACGUCUCUGCCGGUGACCGCAUUUCGGACGUGGGCCCAAGCGGGAUCGGCCUGAGGAAGCCUGCGACCUCCCGCAGGAUACCUGCGAGGCCUGCAUGAGGGGAACAAGCGCCCGCGCACCACAUCUCGAGGGCCUGUUGCUGCGGGAGCGCCGCCGUCCGCUUGCUCGUCGGCGCAUCCAAGAAGCCGUCUCCAACAACGCUGCUCUCAAUCAAGCUCACUGGUAUGGACGAACUGCACUGAAGCAAGGCAUGAGGUGUGAGUUUGAUGACAAUUGGCAAUUCAAGGCCAGGAUGAAGCUCUUUGCUUGAACCGGUUGCAACCAUGGUUUCUUCAGAGUCUGAUAAGGAAAUGCAAUAGACUUUGUUCUGUAACUUGUAGUAUGAACGAGUGAUCAUCGUAGUCCAAAUUCCAAGUUCUUAUAUGUACAACUAAAACUAUGAUAAUGAAGGUGAUGCUGCGAAGAACAUUGUCGA